rnacentral:rRNA from 1 species
UACGAAGGGGGCUAGCGUUGUUCGGAAUUACUGGGCGUAAAGCGCGCGCAGGCGGCUAUCCAAGUCAGUGGUGAAAGCCCGGAGCUCAACUCCGGAACUGCCAUUGAAAACUGUUUUAGCUUGAGGAUGAGAGAGGUGAGUGGAAUUCCCAGUGUAGAGGUGAAAAUUCGUAGAUAUCGGGGAGGAACACCAGUGGCGAAGGCGGCGACCUGGACGGACACUGACGCUGAGACGCGAAAAGCGUGGGGGAGCAAACAGG